rnacentral:rRNA from 1 species
GGCGGCAUGCUUUACACAUGCAAGUCGAACGGCAGCACGAAAGAGCUUGCUCUUUUGGUGGCGAGUGGCGAACGGGUGAGUAAUACAUUGGAACGUACCGAGUAAUGGGGGAUAACUGUCCGAAAGGAUGGCUAAUACCGCAUACGCUCUGAGGAGGAAAGCGGGGGACCUUUGGGCCUCGCGUUAUUCGAGCGGCCAAUGUCUGAUUAGCUAGUUGGUGGGGUAAAGGCCUACCAAGGCGACGAUCAGUAGUGGGUCUGAGAGGAUGAUCCGCCACACUGGGACUGAGACACGGCCCAGACUCCUACGGGAGGCAGCAGUGGGGAAUUUUGGACAAUGGGCGAAAGCCUGAUCCAGCCAUGCCGCGUGUCUGAAGAAGGCCUUCGGGUUGUAAAGGACUUUUGUCAG